GGCCUUUUAGUUUAUUUAGAAUUUUUUAUUUACGAUAAAGUGGUUUUUAGGUUU
rnacentral:tRNA from 1 species